GAGCGUGUAGUUCAGUGGUAGAACGCUGUCCUGAUAAGACAGAGGCCGAUGGUUCGAUCCCAUCCACGCUCA
rfam:Parcubacteria (Nomurabacteria) bacterium GW2011_GWB1_43_7 TW02_C0025, whole genome shotgun sequence.